AUUGAACGCUGGCGGCAGGCCUAACACAUGCAAGUCGAACGAGUGGCGGACGGGUGAGUAAUGUCUGGGAAACUGCCCGAUGGAUGGGGAUACCUACUGUAAACGGUAUCUAAUACCGCAUACCAUCUGCUGUUCCCAGAUGGGAUUAGCUAGUGGGUGGGGUAACGGCUCACCUAGGCGACGAUCCCUAGCUGGGCUGAGAGGAUGACCAGCCACACUGGAACUGAGACACGGUCCAGACUCCUACGGGAGGCAGCAGUGGGGAAUAUUGCACAAUGGGCGAAAGCCUGAUGCAGCCAUGCCGCGUGUAUGAAGAAGGCCUUCGGGUUGUAAAGUACUUUCAGCGAGGAGGCGUUACUCGAAGAAGAAGCACCGGCUAACUCCGUGCCAGCCGCCGCGGUAAUAC
rnacentral:rRNA from 1 species